GGAGAGGUGGCCGAGUGGCCGAAGGCGCUCCCCUGCUAAGGGAGUAUAGGCUAAUCCCCUAUCGGGGGUUCGAAUCCCCCCCUCUCCGCCA
rnacentral:tRNA from 1 species